rnacentral:tRNA from 2 species
GGAGAGGUUCCCGAGUGGCUAAAGGGAGCAGACUGUAAAUCUGCCGGUUUCACCUUCGUUGGUUCGAAUCCAACCCUCUCCACCA